CUUUACUGUAACCUGGUAUUGGGUUCGGGCUUUGACUGCGCAGGAUAGGUGGGAGACUAUGAAGCAAUCCUUGUGGGGAUUGUGGAGUCAACAGUGAGAUACCACUCUGUCAGAGCUAGAAUUCUAACCUUCACCCGUUAUCCGGGGAAGGAACCGUAUCAGGUGGGCAGUUUGACUGGGGCGGUCGCCUCCUAAAAGGUAACGGAGGCGCGCAAAGGUGUUCUCAGGCUGGUUGGAAAUCAGCCGUAGAGUGUAAAGGCAGAAGAACGCUUGACUGUGAGAGUGACAACUCAAGCAGGUACGAAAGUAGGCCUUAGUGAUCCGACGGCACAGCGUGGAAUGGCCGUCGCUCAACGGAUAAAAGUUA
rnacentral:rRNA from 1 species